rnacentral:rRNA from 1 species
UGGAAGUAAAAGUGGUAACAAGGUUUCCGUAGGUAGAGUUUUGCCUACAACAGCGGCCCCCGGCCGCUAGUCUUCCCCGAAGGCGACACGCUAAACUUGCGGGAAGUCCCCCUGCGCUCUGCGCAGGGUGCAUCCGCAGCCAUCCACUCCGGUGGGCGGUUCAGAGACUCAAUGAGCGUGGGUGAUAGCGCGCAAGACGCUAUCAUUUGAGAUAGAGCCCGUCCCCGCUGGCGACAGCGGGGGUCAAACGGAACCUGCGGAAGGAUCAUUA